UGACGAAGUAACCGGCCCCACGAAAAAAAUUCCGGUUAAAAAUCGUAGCCUCAUCCUGGGCGCGAUGUAAACAUUCCGAUGUCAGUAUUGUUGUCGUAUUUCCUGGCUGUUUGUUUAUGUUUUAUAGAACAUUUUUAUAUGAAUCUUAUAAUUUUAUACUCAUCUAUGUAUUUACCAUGGAUCCAGGCGACCAAUCUUUAUCUUUAGAUGAAGUUAAAACAUGGAAAAUUGAAGCUUUGAAGCAAUUCUUGUCCGACCGUCGACUUGCUACGAAGGGGACAAAAGAUGAGUUAAGUGCACUAUGUAACGCCGUGCAGAAAAUGAACAUCGGCAAAGGUUUAAAAUCUUGUGAACUGUCAGAGCAAACUAAGAGAGAUUAUAGUAAACUUUUGAACAUAGGUGAUAUUACUAUUAUUAAAGAUCCAUUGCUUAUAUCAGAUGGCUGGCUCGAUGAAAAGAGUGGUAUUUCUAUGUGGCCCCAGUAUUUUGCCCAGAUAUCGUGAUUUUUUUUAUGUCAGCAGCUGAUCCAGCUUCAACACAAAAAUAUUUGAACGAAUAUUAAUUGGGAAAAGCCUACCAGUAUUUCUCGUCAAACUGGCUCAAAGAAGUGUUCUUCACAGCUGUUGGAAAUGGCUUAUGUGUGUUGCGUUCGAAGUGUACUCCAUCACAUAAUGCUGAGCACAAUGUGUGGGUGUGCGCAGAUGAAGAAAAAGGAGAGGUCAAAGGAGCAUACUGUUUGUGCACAGCUGGACUAGGACAGACAUGCAACCAUAUAGCUGGUGUGCUAUUCCGAGUGGAAGCUGCCAAUAAGCUUGGUAUAACAGCAUGUACUUCAGUGCCAUGCAGUUGGACUAUACCCAAUGCUUCAAAGUCUGUUCCCAAGCCAAAGAGAGUUCAAGACAUGCUGAUAAAGAAAACCAAGCACGGACAGAUAGGAAAGGCCAGGCCAUUGGUAUCCAACCCCAAGGCCAAGUAUACACCAAUUGCUAUAGGGAACCAUACUGAAAGACUCGCAUCUGUUCUUAGAGAAGUCGUUCCAAAUGCAUGCCUCUUUAAAGGCCUAGAUUUUCCAAGUGCAUCUGCUGAUGAGACGUGUGUACCUACAGCACUGUUUGACAUCAACCGAUACACAAUGAAUUAUAUUGUUGAAGAGU